UACGUAGGGAGCAAGCGUUGUCCGGAAUCAUUGGGCGUAAAGCGCGUGUAGGCGGCUCGGUAAGUCUGCUGUGAAAGUCCAGGGCUCAACCCUGGAAUGCCGGUGGAUACUGUCGAGCUCGAGUCCGGAAGAGGCGAGUGGAAUUCCUGGUGUAGCGGUGAAAUGCGCAGAUAUCAGGAGGAACACCAAUGGCGAAGGCAGCUCGCUGGGACGGUACUGACGCUGAGACGCGAAAGCGUGGGGAGCAAACAGG
rnacentral:rRNA from 1 species